CGGGGAGUAGCGCAGCCUGGUAGCGCACCUGCUUUGGGAGCAGGGUGUCGCAGGUUCAAAUCCUGUCUCCCCGACCA
rnacentral:tRNA from 1 species